UACAGAGGGUGCAAGCGUUAAUCGGAAUUACUGGGCGUAAAGCGCGCGUAGGUGGUUUGUUAAGUUGGAUGUGAAAUCCCCGGGCUCAACCUGGGAACUGCAUCCAAAACUGGCAAGCUAGAGUAUGGUAGUGGGUGGUGAAAUUUCCUGUGUAGCGGUGAAAUGCGUAGAUAUAGGAAGGAACACCAGUGGCGAAGGCGACCACCUGGACUGAUGCUGACACUGAGGUGCGAAAACGUGGGGAGCAAACAGG
rnacentral:rRNA from 1 species